rnacentral:lncRNA from 1 species
ACCCUGGCCACCUGGCCCAGUCCUUGCUCUUCUCUGGGCUGUGGGUUCUCCUCACACUACAAUGUGGUCUUUUGUUUUGGGUUUAACCACUGACCACAUCCCCAGCCCUUUUUAUUUUUUAUUGAGACAGAGUCCCACUGAUUGCUCAGGACCUCACUGAGUUGCCUCUCCCUCCCCUGUCCUGUCUGGCCUUGAACUUGCCACGCCCUGCUCAGCCCCCUCAGCUGUGGGUGUUUGUUUUGGGGUCAGCUCUGAGACACCUCCCGGCCUGGAACCAUGGUGGGGACUGACUAUAAAAAUGUGGCAGUGGCCACCUGCCCCACAGGCUGGAGGUGGAAAGGCCCUCAUGGCCCAGGGCGCUGCUGACCCCAGUCUGAGGGGCCAUCUCUGUGGCCUGGCUCCACGCUGAGCCCCAGGAAGACCUGGCUGGGACCAGUUAGCCUGUGUUCAGGCCAGUGGCUUUGGGCUUCGUUCUUUGCCUUAUGCGUGCAGUGGGCUGGGUACCCUGUCCUCAGGGGAGAUGAGGAUGGUGGCAAUAAACCACAUUUGAGAGCCUGGCGACAGUCAUUGCUCUCAGAAUGUGUCAUCGUCUCAUCAGAGGAGGUUGGGCAGGGGACAGCAGUUCACAGAACCAGGAUCCGUAGAGAAGAAGGGAGAGAGGGGACCUGGGGAGACUGAGUGGGCAGUGGAUAAGGGACCCACCAGCGUGGUGCAGCUGAGGCCGCCUGCCUCUGCAGGGAGAGAGGACAUGGUCCCAUAAGCCCCCCAGGCAGAGGACCCUGUGGAAGCCGAGCUCUUCCUGUGCCUGCCGUCCCACUUCACUCAAUCCCGUGGUCUCCGCAUGGGACUGCAGGUGACAGCAGCUUCAUGUUCCCGGCAGGGCAGGGUUCCACCAUGUCCACAUGCCCGUUUCCUUGAUCUGCCGUCUGUCCAUGGGCCCUUGGGUGGAUUCCCUACCUGGCUGUUGUGACUAAUGCUGCAGUGAACGGGGGCGUGCAGGGGUCCCUGGGGCCCAAAUCUGUUUGUUUGGAUACAUGUGCCCAGAAGUGGGGCCAGUGGGUCAUACAGGAGGUCCAGGAGGAGGGUGAAGAGAACCCAGGGAAUGGGCGCAAAGCCCCUUGGGCAGGAGGAGGAGGUUGCCAAGUCCACCCCACAGCCAGGGACUGUAUGUGAUGCAUGUGUCCACAGAGCUGGAGGAGUGGAUGGGGGGAUAGGAAGGACAUAGAAUGAAACUGACAUCAUCGUGACUGUGUGUAUAUGCGUGACUGCAGGACCGAUGUGAUUCUGCAACCUGUAUACUCAGAAAAAUGAGAAAUUAUACCGCAUAUGAUUCAAAUGUGUGAUAUGUCAAGGUCAUUGUACUGUCAUGUGUAACUAAGUAAAACAAAUAAAAAGUUAAAAAAAAAGAGCUGGAAGAGAGAAUCGUGAACCACAAAAUUGAUAAUUGAUAUUUAAAGCAAUGGAUAUGCUGAUUAUUCUGAUUUGAUCACCACACAAUUUACACAUAUCAAAAUAUCACAUUG